rnacentral:rRNA from 1 species
CUACCAGGGUUUCUAAUCCUGUUCGAUACCCGCACCUUCGAGCUUAAGCGUCAGUAACACUCCCGUACGCUGCCUUCGCAAUCGGAGUUCGUCAUGAUAUCUAAGCAUUUCACCGCUACACCAUGAAUUCCGCAUACGUUGCGUGCACUCAAGUCCGCCAGUUCGCGCUGCAAGUUAGAUGUUGAGCACCUAAAUUUCACAACACGCUUAACAGACCGCCUACACUCCCUUUAAACCCAAUAAAUCCGGAUAACGCCUGGACCUUCCGUAUUACCGCGGCUGCUGGCAC